rnacentral:rRNA from 1 species
CCUACGGGCGGCAGCAGUGAGGAAUAUUGGUCAAUGGACGAGAGCCUGAACCAGCCAAGUAGCGUGAAGGAUGACUGCCCUAUGGGUUGUAAACUUCUUUUAUAAGGGAAUAAAGUGUUCCACGUGUGGGAUUUUGUAUGUACCUUAUGAAUAAGGAUCGGCUAACUCCGUGCAAGCAGCCGCGGUAAUACGGAGGAUCCGAGCGUUAUCCGGAUUUAUUGGGUUUAAAGGGAGCGUAGGUGGAUUGUUAAGUCAGUUGUGAAAGUUUGCGGCUUAACCGUAAAAUUGCAAUUGAUACUGGCAGUCUUGAGUACAGUAGAGGUGGGCGGAAUUCGUGGUGUAGCGGUGAAAUGCUUAGAUAUCACGAAGAACUCCGAUUGCGAAGGCAGCUCACUAGACUGCCACUGACACUGAGGCUCGAAAGUGUGGGUAUCAAACAGGAUUAGAUACCCGUGUAGUC